rnacentral:rRNA from 1 species
CAGCAUGGUCUUAGCUUGCUAAGGCUGAUGGCGACCGGCGCACGGGUGAGUAACACGUAUCCAACCUGCCGUCUACUCUUGGCCAGCCUUCUGAAAGGAAGAUUAAUCCAGGAUGGGAUCAUGAGUUCACAUGUCCGCAUGAUUAAAGGUAUUUUCCGGUAGACGAUGGGGAUGCGUUCCAUUAGAUAGUAGGCGGGGUAACGGCCCACCUAGUCAACGAUGGAUAGGGGUUCUGAGAGGAAGGUCCCCCACAUUGGAACUGAGACACGGUCCAAACUCCUACGGGAGGCAGCAGUGAGGAAUAUUGGUCAAUGGGCGAUGGCCUGAACCAGCCAAGUAGCGUGAAGGAUGACUGCCCUAUGGGUUGUAAACUUCUUUUAUAAAGGAAUAAAGUCGGGUAUGCAUACCCGUUUGCAUGUACUUUAUGAAUAAGGAUCGGCUAACUCCGUGCCAGCAGCCGCGGUAAUACGGAGGAUCCGAGCGUUAUCCGGAUUUAUUGGGUUUAAAGGGAGCGUAGAUGGAUGUUUAAGUCAGUUGUGAAAGUUUGCGGCUCAACCGUAAAAUUGCAGUUGAUACUGGAUGUCUUGAGUGCAGUUGAGGCAGGCGGAAUUCGUGGUGUAGCGGUGAAAUGCUUAGAUAUCACGAAGAACUCCGAUUGCGAAGGCAGCCUGCUAAGCUGC